GAUGAACGCGGGGGGGCUGUCUAAUUCAUGGUCGACGAGCGGACGGACAAGCUGGUUUCUCUUAUGAUGUCAGCGGAGGGCAGAAUAACAUCAGGAGCAUCUCCCUAUUAUAGUGGUAGUCCUUCGCCACCCCAGACCUAACCCACAACGAUUUUUAGCCCCACCCGGCUGAAAAGAAAGAGACGGUCGCGCUCUCUCUUACAUAUAGAUGCGCUCUGCCUUAUCUUUGGGGUGGGGUAACGUCACACCGGUGCCACGAUGCAUAGCAGAUCUGAGAGGGAGAUGGGCCACUGCUGCACUGACACACGGACCACACUCCUACGGGACAGCGGAAGUAGGGAAUCUUCCACAGUGCGCAAAAGCCUGAAGGAUCACCGCCGCGUGUGCUGAUGAAGCGUCUUCUGAUCGCACUACUCUGUUAUUAAGGAAUAACUGAUGAGUAAGUUGCGGUGCUCAUCUUGGCAGUACCUAAUAAGACAGCCGCUGAUAACUACGUGCCAGCAGCCGCGGUAAUACGUAGGUGGCAAGUGUUAUCCAUAAUUGUUGGGCGUAAAGCGCGCGUAGGCGUUUUUUAAGUCUGAUGUGAAAGCCCACGGCUCAACCGUGGAGGGUCAUUGGAAACUGGAAAACUUGAGUGCAGAAGAGGAAAGUGGAAUUCCAUGUGUAGCGGUGAAAUGCGCAGAGAUAUGGAGGAACACCAGUGGCGAAGGCGACUUUCUGGUCUGUAACUGACGCUGAUGUGCGAAAGCGUGGGGAUCAAACAGGAUUAGAUACCCUGGUAGUCCACGCCGUAAACGAUGAGUGCUAAGUGUUAGGGGGUUUCCGCCCCUUAGUGCUGCAGCUAACGCAUUAAGCACUCCGCCUGGGGAGUACGACCGCAAGGUUGAAACUCAAAGGAAUUGACGGGGACCCGCACAAGCGGUGGAGCAUGUGGUUUAAUUCGAAGCAACGCGAAGAACCUUACCAAAUCUUGACAUCCUUUGACAACUCUAGAGAUAGAGCCUUCCCCUUCGGGGGACAAAGUGACAGGUGGUGCAUGGUUGUCGUCAGCUCGUGUCGUGAGAUGUUGGGUUAAGUCCCGCAACGAGCGCAACCCUUAAGCUUAGUUGCCAUCAUUAAGUUGGGCACUCUAAGUUGACUGCCGGUGACAAACCGGAGGAAGGUGGGGAUGACGUCAAAUCAUCAUGCCCCUUAUGAUUUGGGCUACACACGUGCUACAAUGGACAAUACAAAGGGCAGCGAAACCGCGAGGUCAAGCAAAUCCCAUAAAGUUGUUCUCAGUUCGGAUUGUAGUCUGCAACUCGACUACAUGAAGCUGGAAUCGCUAGUAAUCGUAGAUCAGCAUGCUACGGUGAAUACGUUCCCGGGUCU
rnacentral:rRNA from 1 species